UAAUAUCUUUCUAAAGAUAAUGUCUUAGAGACUGCCACAUACAUAUUAAAUAGAAUGCCUUCAAAGUUUGUUGCAAGUACUUCAUAUGAAAUAUAGAAGAAAAAGAAGCCUAAUCUUAAACAUCUUAAGACUUAAGGCUAUCUUACUUAUGUCAAAAAUAUUUUUGGAUAUAAGCUUAAUGCUAGAUCAGACAAGUGUAGAUUUGUAGAGUAUCCUAAAAAAAUUAAUGGAUAUUAUUUCUACCACCCUACUAAACAAAAGAUAUUUGUUAGUAGGC
rnacentral:lncRNA from 1 species